GACGAACCGUGCGAACGUUAUUCGGAAUCACUGGGCUUAAAGCGCGUGUAGGCGGCCCGGCACGUCCGUCGCUGAAAUCCCCCGGCUCAACCGGGGAAGUGGCGUGGAUACGACCGGGCUGGAGGGGGGUAGGGGGAGCCGGAACUUCCGGUGGGAGCGGUGAAAUGCGUUGAGAUCGGAAGGAACGCCCGUGGCGAAAGCGGGCUCCUGGACCCCACCUGACGCUGAGACGCGAAAGCCAGGGGAGCGAACGGG
rnacentral:rRNA from 1 species